rnacentral:rRNA from 1 species
GGAUGCGAUCAUACCAGCACUAAAGCACCGGAUCCCAUCAGAACUCCGAAGUUAAGCGUGCUUGGGCGAGAGUAGUACUAGGAUGGGUGACCUCCUGGGAAGUCCUCGUGUUGCCUUCC